UGGGGAAUAUUGGACAAUGGGGGCAACCCUGAUCCAGCGAUGCCGCGUGUGUGAAGAAGGCCUGCGGGUUGUAAAGCACUUUCAGUGGUGAGGAAAGGUUUUUGUUUAAGAGAUGAGAACUGUGACGUUAACCACAGAAGAAGCACCGGCUAACUCUGUGCCAGCAGCCGCGGUAAUACAGAGGGUGCAAGCGUUAAUCGGACUUACUGGGCGUAAAGGGUGCGUAGGUGGAAAUUUAAGUUGAGUGUGAAAUAUCCGGGCUUAACCUGGAGCGUGCAUUCAAAACUGAGUUUCUAGAGUAUGGUAGAGGGAAGUGGAAUUUCCGGUGUAGCGGUGAAAUGCGUAGAUAUCGGAAGGAACACCAGUGGCGAAGGCGACUUCCUGGCCCAAUACUGACACU
rnacentral:rRNA from 1 species